CAGUCGCCGCGGGAAUACGUAGGUGGCAGGCGUUGUCCGGAAUUAUUGGGCGUAAAGCGCGCGCAGGCGGAUAGGUCAGUCUGUCUUAAAAGUUCGGGGCUUAACCCCGUGAUGGGAUGGAAACUGCCAAUCUAGAGUAUCGGGGAGGAAAGUGGAACUCCUAGUGUAGCGGUGAAAUGCGUAGAUAUUAGGAAGAACACCAGUGGCGAAGGCGACUUUCUGGACGAAAACUGACGCUGAGGCGCGAAAGCCAGGGGAGCGAACGGGAUUAGAUACCCCCGUAGUCCCUGUCUCUUAUACA
rnacentral:rRNA from 1 species